GACGAACGCUGGCGGCGUGCUUAACACAUGCAAGUCGAACGGAAAGGCCCUGCUUUUGUGGGGUGCUCGAGUGGCGAACGGGUGAGUAACACGUGAGUAACCUGCCCUUGACUUUGGGAUAACUUCAGGAAACUGGGGCUAAUACCGGAUAGGAGCUCUUGCUGCAUGGUGGGGGUUGGAAAGUUUCGGCGGUUGGGGAUGGACUCGCGGCUUAUCAGCUUGUUGGUGGGGUAGUGGCUUACCAAGGCUUUGACGGGUAGCCGGCCUGAGAGGGUGACCGGCCACAUUGGGACUGAGAUACGGCCCAGACUCCUACGGGAGGCAGCAGUGGGGAAUAUUGCACAAUGGGCGGAAGCCUGAUGCAGCAACGCCGCGUGCGGGAUGACGGCCUUCGGGUUGUAAACCGCUUUCGCCUGUGACGAAGCGUGAGUGACGGCAAUGGGUAAAGAAGCACCGGCUAACUACGUG
rnacentral:rRNA from 1 species